GUUUAUCCAAAAUUCCGAACAACUUCAGAAAAAAAUGCGACUCGAUCCGAUUCCCUCAGCAAAUCCGCCAACAGCAAACAUACAGCAACAACGUACAAUAGCCAACGAUAGUACAAAUCGAACAACGUCAGAGUAAAACUGAACAGCAACCAGCAAACCCGACCACCUUGAACCUGACUCAGCUCUAACCCAUUAAAACACCACCAAAACCCAAACCCAGAGACCCAGCGCCCAAACCUAACAAUAUUUUCUUUCCACAUCGGCGUGUGCCAAUCACGAUAUAGCAACAUCGAGUGUUCUACAGGCUGCUCUAAUUCGUCCAUCAAUUGCUAACCGUUUUUAAAUUCAAAUCUCUCAACAAACUUGUACGAUUUUAGCCAGCUCAAUUUAUCGUGAAUUUGAAAUUGGUCGAAAAUUCUAAAAUUAUCCCACUAAUUGUCCCUCUCCCACAUCGGUGGUGCGUAAAAACCUCAAUCCAACAUUCUCCUAUAAAAAGGGGAUUGCGGAAGAGCAAAUGGGCAAGUCUCAAGGGCUGAAAAAAGCAUUUUUGAGCAAAAAUCAGUAAAAACUUUAUUUUUUAGUGAAAUUUUUAAGCGGUCAAUUGAUCAAAACUCUCGAAGGACCCAUUUUUGGUAGUGGUGGAGUCCGAUGGUAGCUCAAAGUCUUGUUUUUCUGUUCCAAAAGAGCAAUAAUUUAAAACCUGCCAAUGUCAUGUCAUUCAAGGGUUAGACGAAUAAAGUGAGGGGUAUGAUAAUGAAUGGAAAGAAGGUGAUGAGAAGCAGUUAGUGGAAGACAUAGAGGAAUACAAAAAGUGAGAGAAUCUCAACCUGGAGGAGCCAUAAUCCACUCGAGGUGAAUGGUCAAAAGUGGACCAAACCAAUCAAUUCCGAUGCAGUAAAGAGAUACUAUGUUUGAAGGAUGUUUUAGUUUCUUGUUUCCUUGGUUUAUUUGUAAUCGCCUGUUUGAUAGUAUUUGUUUUAUGAUGUGUAAUUUCCUAGAAUCCCUUUCCUUUAUGUAUGAACUACGUUUGACUCGAAUUCCUAAGAAAGGAAUACGUAGGCGGUCGAUGUUGGCUUCGGUCAACCCCUUA